UAAAUUAUAGCUUAACAAAAAGUAUUUCAUUUACAUUGAAAAGAUAUUAAAUUAUAAUUAAUUUAA
rnacentral:tRNA from 1 species